rnacentral:rRNA from 1 species
AGUGAACGCUGGCGGUAGGCCUAACACAUGCAAGUCGAACGGCAGCACAGUAAGAGCUUGCUCUUACGGGUGGCGAGUGGCGGACGGGUGAGGAAUACAUCGGAAUCUACUUUUUCGUGGGGGAUAACGUAGGGAAACUUACGCUAAUACCGCAUACGACCUACGGGUGAAAGCAGGUGAUCUUCGGACCUUGCGCGAUUGAAUGAGCCGAUGUCGGAUUAGCUAGUUGGCGGGGUAAAGGCCCACCAAGGCGACGAUCCGUAGCUGGUCUGAGAGGAUGAUCAGCCACACUGGAACUGAGACACGGUCCAGACUCCUACGGGAGGCAGCAGUGGGGAAUAUUGGACAAUGGGCGCAAGCCUGAUCCAGCCAUACCGCGUGGGUGAAGAAGGCCUUCGGGUUGUAAAGCCCUUUUGUUGGGAAAGAAAAGCAGCAGGUUAAUACCCCGCUGUUCUGACGGUACCCAAAGAAUAAGCACCGGCUAACUUCGU